CUCAGCACGCAGCCGCUUCCGCCACACUUUGGCGUGCGGUCUGCAUCUCCGCACCCGCCUCGCGUGGUUCCGGAGGUUGAACACGACACAGAGGCUCCGGUUUUAAUAUGCAGAAGCGAAAAGGAAGGACAGGGAGAGUCAGAAGGCGAAGGGGAAGUUCCGACUCUAGAGGAGUGAAUGAAAGCUACAGACCUGAAUUUAUAGAGCUGAGAAAAUGGCUGAAAGAUAGAAAGUUUGAAGACACAGGCUUAGUACCCGCCUGCUU